rnacentral:rRNA from 1 species
GAAAACGAGUGCCGAACGGAGAAAAAGGUCGGGAAACCCUGCCUGAUGGAGGGGGAUAACUACUGGAACGUAGCUAAUCCCGCAUAACGUCGCAAGACCAAAGAGGGGACCUUCGGGCCUCUGCCAUCAGAUGACGCCCCAGAUGGGAUUAGCUAGUAGGCGGGGUAAUGGCCCACUAGGCGACGAUCCCUAGCUGGUCUGAGAGGAUGACCAGCCACACUGGAACUGAGACACGGUCCAGACUCCUACGGGAGGCAGCAGUGGGGAAUAUUGCACAAUGGGCGCAAGCCUGAUGCAGCCAUGCCGCGUGUGUGAAGAAGGCCUUCGGGUUGUAAAGCACUUUCAGCGGGGAGGAAGGCGGUACGGUUAAUAACCGUGCUGAUUGACGUUACCCGCAGAAGAAGCACCGGCUAACUCCGUGCCAGCAGCCGCGGUAAUACGGAGGGGCAAGCGUUAUCGGAAUUUAUGGGGCGUAAAGCGCACGCAGGCGGUCUGUCAAGUCGGAUGUGAAAUCCCCGGGCUCAACCUGGGAACUGCAUUCGAAACUGGCAGGCUGGAGUCUCGUAGAGGGAGUAGAUUUCCCCAGGGUGUAGCGGUGAAAUGCGUAGAGAUCUGAGAUACCCA